CCAGUGGCUAACACAGGAGGCCCAGGCGGUGUGGAGCUGCCCGUUCCUUCGGCGCUGACUCCCCCAAACCGCCCCCCCAGAUGUCUGCCCCGUUGCUCUCAAGGUAAUCUAGACAGACGCAGCUGAAAGCCUGAAUCUUAUGCCUUAGACAUCAAAGAAAGCUCGCACAAAGAAGUAUUUCUUCACAACGGUGAAUCUUCAUGGUCAAUGCCACCCAGAGGAUCGGCUCUCACUGCUGCCAAACCUGCUCCGGGUCGCUGUGCCGGUGAUGCGCGGACGUGGAGAGCCACGCCGGAGUGCCCGGGGAGAGGGUGGGGGUCCCGAGAGAGUUCCCCGACGGUACCGCACUGCCGGCGCUCCCUGCCCCCUCUCUGCAGCCCCUCGGGAUACCUGCUCGAGCCCGCCCUGAAGCCAGACAAAAGCGCACAU